rnacentral:rRNA from 3 species
AAACCAACAGGGAUUGCCCUAGUAACGGCGAGUGAAGCGGCAACAGCUCAAAUUUGAAAUCUGGCCUUCGGGUCCGAGUUGUAAUUUGUAGAGGAUGCUUUUGGCGCGGUGCCUUCCGAGUUCCCUGGAACGGGACGCCUUAGAGGGUGAGAGCCCCGUACGGUUGGACACCAAGCCUCUGUAAAGCUCCUUCGACGAGUCGAGUAGUUUGGGAAUGCUGCUCUAAAUGGGAGGUAAAUUUCUUCUAAAGCUAAAUAUUGGCCAGAGACCGAUAGCGCACAAGUAGAGUGAUCGAAAGAUGAAAAGCACUUUGAAAAGAGGGUUAAAUAGCACGUGAAAUUGUUGAAAGGGAAGCGUUUGCGACCAGACCUUUUCCUAGCGGAUCAUCCGGUGUUCUCACCGGUGCACUUUGCUAGGUUGAGGCCAGCAUCGGUUUUCGUAGGGGGAUAAAAGCUUGGGGAACGUAGCUCCCUCGGGAGUGUUAUAGCCCCUCGCAUAAUACCCUUACGGGGACCGAGGACCGCGCUUCGGCAAGGAUGCUGGCAUAAUGGUCGUCAACGAC